rnacentral:rRNA from 1 species
CCUACGGGGCGCAGCAGUGAGGAAUAUUGGUCAAUGGUCGGGAGACUGAACCAGCCAAGCCGCGUGAGGGAGGAAGGUACAGAGUAUCGUAAACCUCUUUUGUCAGGGAACAAAGGCGGGGACGUGUCCCCGGAUGAGUGUACCUGAAGAAAAAGCAUCGGCUAACUCCGUGCCAGCAGCCGCGGUAAUACGGAGGAUGCGAGCGUUAUCCGGAUUUAUUGGGUUAAAAGGGUGCGCAGGCGGUCUGUUAAGUCAGCGGUAAAAGCCCGGGGCUCAACCCCGGCCCGCCGUUGAAACUGGCAGUCUCGAGUUGGAGAGAAGUAUGCGGAAUGCGCGGUGUAGCGGUGAAAUGCAUAGAUAUCGCGCAGAACUCCGAUUGCGAAGGCAGCAUGCCGGCUCCACACUGACGCUGAGGCACGAAAGCGUGGGUAUCGAACAGGAUUAGAUACCCUAGUAGUC